rnacentral:tRNA from 1 species
GGAUGGGUAGCCUAGUGGCGAAGGCAGCAGACUGUAAAUCUGUGACAUGGAAACACCGUAGGUUCGAGUCCUACCCCAUCCA